CGGGGAGUAGCGCAGUUGGCUAGCGCGCUUGCUUCGGGAGCAAGAGGCCGGCGGUUCGAAUCCGCCCUCCCCGACCA
rnacentral:tRNA from 2 species